GCAAACUUGGUCAUUUAGAGGAAGUAAAAGUCGUAACAAGGUUUCCGUAGGUGAACCUGCGGAAGGAUCAUCAAUGAAUUUCCUUUAAACUUGGUUCUGGUAACUUUUUUUGGCUUUAUGUCAAGAAGACUGCCAUUACCUAUCAACCACCAGUCCUCAAGUAAAAACGGUGUUCUCGUUGGAGUUAUCUUCAACAUAGCUCUAGAGCCCCUUUUUACAUUUGAAUGGACUCUUUUUAAGGCUUUGGUGGGAACAAAGAACAAAGAGGAUGAAUUGGUACAACAAAACCCGAUCGCCUACUUUUUUCUUACUCAACCUUUGCCGAAUGUGUGGGCUUACAACAAAUUAAAAUACAACUUUUAACGAUGGAUCUCUUGGCUCCCGCAUCGAUGAAGAACGCAGC
rnacentral:misc_RNA from 1 species